rnacentral:rRNA from 1 species
UUGUUAUUCCUUUUAAAAGUUAGUCUAAAAAGGUACAGCCUUUUAGAAAUGGGUACAACCUUCACUAGAGAGUAAGAUCUAAAAAUACCAUAGUAGGCCUAAAAGCAGCCAUCAAUUAAGAAAGCGUUAAAGCUCAACAACAAUAGUAUUAUUAAUCCCAGCAAUAACAUUAGCCAACUCCUAGAUUUAAUACUGGACUAUUCUAUUACUAAAUAGAAGCAAUAAUGUUAAUAUGAGUAACAAGAAAUAUUUUCUCCUCGCACAAGUUUAAGUCAGUAACUGAUAAUACCCUGACCGUUAACAGUAAAUAAAAAUAACCCAACAAUAAAUGAUUUAUUACUUAUACUGUUAACCCAACACAGGAGUGCACCCAGGAAAGAUUCAAAGAAGUAAAAGGAACUCGGCAAACACUAAACCCCGCCGGUUUACAAAAAACAUCACCUCCGGCAUCCC